rnacentral:misc_RNA from 1 species
GAAACGCACACUACCGUCGAAAGCGCAAAGAAGGAAUUGAAAAAUACGAAAACUGAUUUAACACACACUAUGCAACGCUUGGAUGAAACGCAUGCUACUGUCGAAGGUUUAAAAAAUGAGUUGAAAGGAAAUUCCCAACUUCUUGCUACUGUUAUGGCCACAUUCGAAACAUUGAAAAA